AAUUCUUGAUAAAAAUAUACCCGUAUAUGCUUGAUAAUAUGGUUCAAGCGUUUCUACCAGACUGCCGUAAAUUGUCUGACUAUGGGUGUUUAUAGAUAUCAU
rnacentral:ncRNA from 2 species